GAACAUUCCUCAACUUACACCAUGUGACCAGUUCACUCUUUAAAAUGUUACUAGGGAGAUAAAGCUCCACUCAGCCUUGGGUAGCUCCUCCCAAAAGGACCCUGUAAUACCCCAGCUGUAGCUCAGUCCGUGGUGCUGGCUUGUCUUGUUCGGUGGUGGGAGUCCAGGUCUGUGGACUCGAUCUCUCAGCAAUGAGAGCAUCUCCGAGGGACUCCUGGAGCAAUGCAGGUGGUUGAGUCACCAUCUUAUCAGUUUAAGUACCCCCAAAAAAACAAUUCAGAAGAUGAAAAGCUCGUUUGGCUCACAGUCUCAGAGAUGACAGUUUAUACUCGCUUGGCUCCAUUAAUUCUGAGUCCAUGGUGAGGGGAAGCAUCACAGUGAGGAGCAUGCAUGGUAAUGCAGACUGGGUCAUAGCA